AAGAAAAAAACCACUACUCCACCCUGCUUAGUUGCACUGCACUGCAUUUUUUUCCAAAGACAAAACAAUUUGAUAUGAUACAUCUUAUGCAACUAUAUCUCAUAAAAUCAUUUUCAGCAGGCCUCAUUUUGUCUGGAUAUCUGCCUGUUUACUUACAAGAUUUGAAAGCUGCAAAACAAAAUUGGAAGACCUUUCUGAGGAAAACUCGUGUGAGCAACAGGACCUGAGCAGGCUUGAGGUGCCAGAAGACCAACUUUGAAAAUAAUUUCAAGCUGGAAAUGCCGUCUAGAAGGAACUGGGAGACUCACUCAAAUAAAUGACACUAUCAGAAGUAAUGACAAGACUUUUAGUUCUGGUUAAAAAUGGGUUUCGGGAAGUCAGCUGUCCAGUGAGAGCCAGCAGUGCUCUUGACCCUGCCACCUCUGGUAUAACCCUGGCUGCUCCUCCACUGCUUUUGUUAUUCCUAAUUUCUCAAAGGAGCAAUAGGCAACUUGUAAGACGAUCUGACAGCUCAAAGAUCCUUGGAAAAAGAGAAGGCAAAGGACCAUGUUCCCCAGGACUGCAGAGCACGGCCAAGGAAUUCCAGCUCCCACAGGCCUUAACUGUGGAAAAACUCUCCAUGGAACUAGAGAGUGCACAAGCACAGAGGAAGAUACUGAAGAGUAUGCAAUCAAAUAAAGCAAUAUUACGGUGCCUUUUAUUAGCUACAGGAGAGAUGGCUAAGGAAUCAACUACAUUAAGAUCAUGCUUAUUCCAAAUCUACGAGGUUGCAUUUGCAGUCUCUUCUUGACACUCUAUCUUGUAAAGAGCACUUGCAUUAAAUAAACCAUAUUAUGAAGUAUG
rnacentral:lncRNA from 7 species